CACCCACACGUGACUCACGCAGGCAGGAGCGGGGGACCCAGGUAAGCCGCCGGUCCGGACAUCGACGCCGGAGCGGCUAGGGGUGAAGCCGCGCGCCGCAACGCGCCCGGCCGGGCAUCUCCCGCCCGAACCCGACAGCUCACCUCGCAGGCGCCGGAGAGGACUCAA
rnacentral:sRNA from 2 species